CUUGGCGGACAUAGAGAGUUGGAACCACUCCUUCCCAUCCCGAACAGGACAGUGAAACGACUUAUCGCCAAUGAUAGUAUGCUUUUUGCAUGCGAAAGUAGGUCACUGCCAAGC
rfam:Candidatus Methylopumilus planktonicus strain MMS-10A-171 genome assembly, chromosome: 1